GGCAACUGGACUUAAGAGAUUCGUUCCUCUCAAGAAGAGGCCCCUUCAUGUCAUCCUAGGGCUGAGUGCCCUUCAGGGGACCUGAAACAAAUUGACCAUGCAGGUCUAGCAGCUUGUGGGGACUCUUAAGUGCAGGCUCCAGGAGGGAGCCUGGGUUCAGCAGCUCAGCCAGGAACAGCGCUAAGCUACCUGGAUGGAAACUGAGGCCACUUACGAGCCACCUGCAGGCUUCAAAGGACUAAGCUUCUGGACACUGGUCUUUGUUUUGACCUUGCUGAAGACACAGUUGGACUAUUUCUAUGGCCUGCCAAACGGAAAUGUGAUACAGAGAAAUCAUUUGUUUGCACCCAAAUAAAUCUUACCUCACCACAACC